rnacentral:rRNA from 1 species
CCUACGGGAGGCAGCAGUGGGGAAUAUUGCGCAAUGGGCGAAAGCCUGACGCAGCGACGCCGCGUGAGGGAUGAAGGUCUUCGGAUCGUAAACCUCUGUCAGCAGGGAAGAACGGUCACUGUGCUAAUCAGCAGUGAAUUGACGGUACCUGCAAAGGAAGCACCGGCUAACUCCGUGCCAGCAGCCGCUGUAAUACGGAGGGUGCGAGCGUUAAUCGGAAUUACUGGGCGUAAAGCGCUCGUAGGCGGAAUGUCAAGCCAAGGGUGAAAUCCCCGCGCUCAACGUGGGAACUGCCUUUGAAACUGGCAAACUGGAGAGUGUGAGAGGAUAGUGGAAUUCCAGGUGUAGGAGUGAAAUCCGUAGAUAUCUGGAGGAACAUCAGUGGCGGAGGCGACUAUCUGGCACAUAACUGACGCUGAGGAGCGAAAGCGUGGGUAGCAAACGGGAUUAGAUACCCUAGUAGUC